rnacentral:rRNA from 1 species
ACUACUAGGAUCCCCCUAGUAACGGCGAGUGAAGCGGGGUGAGCUCAAAUUUAAAAUCUGGCUGGUUUACUAGUCCGAAUUGUAGUUUAAAGAAGCGUUUUCGGUGGCAGCCUGGGUAUAAAUCCUUUGGAAUAGGGUAUCAUAGAGGGUGAGAAUCCCGUCUUUGACUCAGUGCAUGCUACUAUGUGAUACGUUUUCAAAGAGUCGAGUUGUUUGGGAAUGCAGCUCAAAAUGGGUGGUAAAUUUCAUCUAAAGCUAAAUAUUGGCGAGAGACCGAUAGCGAACAAGUACCGUGAGGGAAAGAUGAAAAGAACUUUGAAAAGAGAGUUAAACAGUGCGUGAAAUUGUUGAAAGGGAAACGUUUGACACCAGUCAUGCGGCUGGAAAAUCAGUCUAUUGAAGUGGGGAGCAGGGUGCGUUUGGACCGCAAGGCCAGCGUAUUUUUCAUCUUUGCUUGAAUGGAUGCACUUUUUCAAUCGCAGGUCAACAUCAGUUUUCUCUGCUGGACAAAACUCCAAGAGAAGGUGACAGCUUAGGCUGUGUUAUAGCUCUGGAGCGAUACAGUGGAGAGGACUGAGGUUACUGCAGCGUGUGCUCUCGGGCAAGGCUGACUGGGUGCUAUGGGAUCGUUCGGCGUACAAUACAUGUAUUUUGCGCCGUGUCUUUUCCAUACUCGCUCAGCUCAGCUCUUCCACGCUUAGGAUGUUGACUUAAUGGUUUUAAACGACCCGUCUUGAAACACGGACCAAGGAGUCUAACAUACAUGCAAGUGUUUGGGUGGCAAACCCAUACGCGUAAUGAAAGUGAACGUAGGUGCGAUCCGCAAGGUGCAGCAUCGACCGAUCUUGAUAUUUUUGGAUAGAUUUGAGUAAGAGCAUGCAUGCUGGGACCCGAAAGAUGGUGAACUAUGCCUGAAUAGGGUGAAGCCAGAGGAAACUCUGGUGGAGGCUCGUAGCGAUUCUGACGUGCAAAUCGAUCGUCAAAUUUGGGUAUAGGGGCGAAAGACUAAUCGAACC